GUCCCGAAGGCUUCCUUACCGCUUUUUCACUGUGGUCUUAAUCCAUCAUGUUAGUCCUUACCCAGAGGUCCCCUGAAUCUUGAGCCUGGGGCCAUAGGUCUCCAUCUGUUGCUUCAGAGCCUUGUGCAAGCUAUUUGAGCAUGCUUUUGAAGGUGCCAGCACUUGAGAGAAUCAUUUCUUCCCCUUUCUUUACAGACCUGUCUACCUCCAUUUCCUGCACCCAGCCUCUUGGGAUAUACACAUCUUUGAACAGCAUCACUCUGGUCUCCUCCACGCAGACGAACUCCCCGGCUCAACUUCAUUAAUGAUGUCCUCGCGCAGUUCGAAUUGAGUGCCCAAGCCAGGAGGCUUCCAGAAACCAAGGCAGUGGUAUGGAUGGCAGCUUCAGCACUGAAGAAACCAGAUGUUUCCAAGGCAUUUCUGUUGUUAGAUUUGACCAGCUUUGGGUUUAUCAUGAGAGGUCAACCUGCACACCUGAGGAAUAAGAAUUGUCUCCUCUUCCUUGGCUGCGCACCACCAUGAUCACCAAAUAAAACAACUACUCAACAAAAAGCUAUGGAAAAA
rnacentral:lncRNA from 1 species